GACGAACGCUGGCGGCGUGCUUAACACAUGCAAGUCGAACGGAAAGACCCUGCUUUUGUGGGGUGCUCGAGUGGCGAACGGGUGAGUAACACGUGAGUAACCUGCCCUUGACUUUGGGAUAACUUCAGGAAACUGGGGCUAAUACCGGAUAGGAGCUCCUGCUGCAUGGUGGGGGUUGGAAAGUUUCGGCGGUUGGGGAUGGACUCGAGGCUUAUCAGCUUGUUGGUGGGGUAGUGGCUUACCAAGGCUUUGACGGGUAGCCGGCCUGAGAGGGUGACCGGCCACAUUGGGACUGAGAGACGGCCCAGACUCCUACGGGAGGCAGAAGUGGGGAAUAUUGCACAAUGGGCGGAAGCCUGAUGCAGCAACGUCGCGUGCGGGAUGACGGCCUUCGGGUUGUAAACCGCUUUCGCCUGUGACGAAGCGUGAGUGACGGUAAUGGGUAAAGAAGCACCGGCUAACUACGUG
rnacentral:rRNA from 1 species